AUCGCUUCUCGGCCUUUUGGCUCAGAUCAAGCGUAAAUUCUGUUCUUAUCAGUUUAAUAUUUGAUAGUCCUCUACACGAGGACCAAAUAUUAAAUUGAUUUUUGGAACAAGUAGCUGGAUCUGGGGCUUGCCUCAUCCACUCCAUGCAUUGUCCUGGUAUUGCAGUAUCUCCAGGUACAGUGCACCUCCA
ensembl:snRNA U2 U2 spliceosomal RNA